rnacentral:misc_RNA from 1 species
AAGUCGUAACAAGGUUUCCGUAGGUGAACCUGCGGAAGGAUCAUUAACACGUAUCCAACGUUAAACCCCCCGUGAACCUUCAUUGUGCUCCCCCAUUCCGUUAGGACGCGGCAAUCCCUGGUAAAUCAUCGCCGAACAGUUUUGAUUCAGGGACCUCUGCAUGGAGUGGGCAGCAGCGCGAGGCAAGUGGCCUGGCAUUCGAAAGAAUGGCGCAGUAACGAUCGCUAGAGGCCGACACGGCCGACCGGGUCACUGGGCUCACGCCCCCCUAUCACCUUUGCAUGAAAACGGGCCUGCGCUUAAUUGUGCGGCCACCAAACUCGAACAACUGUUAACAAUGGAUAUCUUGGUUCUC